rnacentral:misc_RNA from 1 species
UGUGGGAGCUGGCUUGCCUGCGAUCCAGUCAACUCGGUGAUUCAGGCACACCGAGUCGAUGCCAUCGCAGGCAAGCCAGCUCCCACA